rnacentral:ncRNA from 1 species
GCAAAAGUAACUCUGCUCAGUACAAGAGAAACUGCAGGUUCAGACAUUUGGUGUGUGUGUGCUUGGGUGAUGUAAAGCCAGUGAUGUAAAGCUACCAUCUGUGGGAUUAGGGCUGAUCACCUCCAAGACUGAAUUCUCCCUAAAUGGC